AACCGAUCCAUAUAUGAUUCCCACUUACACACAAAGGGAAAUGUCUGCCUAUUACCUUUUUUUUCAGUUAAACUACGUUUGUAAGAAGAAGGUACAUACAGAAACAAGAAUAUUUCUCUGUUGUUAUUACAUUUAUAUAUAUUUAGUGUAAUUUUAUGUGCUUCGAAAAUAAUGCCUACGUGACAGUCAAUGCGUAUUAUAUCUCUCUAUACCCAUUUUAUAUAGCGAACUUCAGAGUUUUUUAUUAUUAUGAUUCGUUUCUAUAUAGAAGGUUGUGAAUCAAAUUCAAUUGGUAUUGGUGUAAAAAAGUGCGCCGAUGUAUGUGUGUGCCGACACAAAUUAGGAUACGGGCAACAAAAUGUUCCACGGCGAAUGUACGCGAUAAUUGCAUCAGAUGAAGGAGAAUACGGUUUGGACUAUAUUCAACUGAUAGGACAAAUGUGGUUUCAAAAUCGGUUGAUUAGAUUGACACGGACAAUUUCAAUUUUUGUCGCACAUUGCAUUAUAGUCAUUAGAAAUGAUUUUUCCUGUCAUAGAGCAAAAAUAUACCUACCAGAAUUGGCUUCGGAUGAUCUUUCUUCCAAAAUACGUUCAACCAUUGUGCAGCUGUUUGUAUGUAUUGGAAAUUUAUAUUAUUCAAAAUUGAAUUUUAUUUUUUCUUUGAUUUUAACACCAGUUACGAUGUUAUUCAAUUUUAACU